rnacentral:lncRNA from 1 species
UUCUUUUUUUUUUUUUUUUUUUUUCCUUUUUUUCGGUUUUUCGAGACAGGGUUUCUCUGUAUAGCCCUGCCUGUCCUGGAACUCACUUUGUAGACCAGGCUGGCCUCAAACUCAGAAAUCCACCUGCCUCUGCCUCCCAAGUGCUGGGAUUAAAGGCGUGCGCCACCACUGCCUGGCUCCAAGGCAAGUCUUAUUUAAAAACAACAAAACAAAACAAAACAAAACAAAAAACCCAUUUAAUUUGGACUUGCUUAUAGUUUCAGAGAUUUAGUCCAUUAUCAGCAUGGUGGCACAUAGGCAGACAUAGUGCUGGAGAAGGAGCUGAGAGUUCUACAAACAGAUCCACAGGAACAGAGAAGAAAGCCACUAAGUCUGGCUUGGGUUUUGAAGCUUCAAGGCCCAUCCCCAUUGACACACUUCCUCCAAGGCCACACCUCCUAAUACUUUUUAAAUAGUGACAUUCUUUAGUGAGAAAGCAUUCAAAUAUAUAAACCUAUGGGUGCAUUUUUAUUCAAACCAUAGAUUUAAUGCUGUUCUCAACAACACUAAAGAGAAGCUUCAGUGGGCGAUGGUCAGUGCAGAGACUCAUAAAUAGUCAAAGUGUUGUGACAAGUGACAGUUGAGUGCUCAACCCUCCAAGACUCAAGGAACAUCACAGAAGAGAGGUGUCUUAGGGUUUUGCUGCUGUGAACAGACACCAUGACCAAGGUAACUCUUAUAAAUGACAUUUCAUUGGGGCUGGCUUACAGGUUCAGAAGUUCAGUCCAUUAUCAUCAAGGUAGGAGCAUGGCAGCAUCCAGGCAGGCAUGGUGCAGGCGGAGCUGAGAGUUCUAUGUCUUCAUCUGAAGGCUGCUAGUGGAAGACUGACUUCCAGGCAGCUAGGAUGAGGGUCUUAAGCUCAUGAUCACAGUGACACACCUACUCCAACAAGGCCAUACCUUCUAAUACUGCUACUCCGUGGGCCAAGCAUAUACAGACUAUCACAGUUAUAUUCAGCCAAUCAUUUCUUCCCUGCAUUAGUAUUGUAGCUUACCUUUCCUCUGUCUGCCUGUGCAGUUCUACAAUCUUAUGUUUUUCCACAGUGGAUAUAAUGAUCUUUUCAGAAGGGUAAGAACCAAUGCCUGUGAUUAUGAUGGGAUAAGUAACAAGGACUGAAUUACCCUUUGUCUUUAAUUAUAAACCUGGACAAAAUAUGUGAAACCAUAAUUCAGAGCAGGGGAGCCUGGCUAACACCUAGCAUUCUUGAUUUGGGAGACAGGUUUCAGAAUUUAUUCAGGUAAGUCUGAUGGCUAGGAUUUGUAGGGUAUACAGUAAAGCAGGGGAAAUCAAGUGUGCCUUCCUGAGAGCUACAGUAUGCAGCAGGGAGUGCCUCAGCACAUGAAGUGCUAACCUGACACCAGGGAAGGAACCAUCAGAAAGGAGCAGAUCUGAGAGUGCAAAGCACUGGAAGUUGAUUUGAGUACUUAGAAGGGUAUUAUUUCAAGAGUGGGGACGUGUUUGCUCUAGGCCAAAGGUUCCUCUGGGCUUGUUUAAUAAAACUUAAAAGCAAGUCUCAAAGAAACUAUCUCUAAGGAACCUAACUGCAUCUCAGAACCAACCUCAAAUAUGUUUAAAGGAAU